UACGGGGGGGGACGAGUGUUAUUCAUCAUACUGGGCGUAAAGGGUGCGUAGGUGGCUUUUUAAGUUUGAAUCUAAAAAUACUGAGCGCAACUCAGAAAUAGAUUUUUAUACUGUAAAGCUUGAGGUUAGAAGAAGAUGGUUGUAAUUUUUAGUGUAAAGGUGAAAAUUUUUUAAAAUACUGGGGGGGAUAAUCUAUGGCAAAAAGCAACUUUCUAGAAUAAUUCUGACAUUUGAAGCACAAAAGCGUGGG
rnacentral:rRNA from 1 species